UUGUACCUACGGGGCGCAGCAGUGGGGGAUAUUGCACAAUGGGCGCAAGCCUGAUGCAGCGACGCCGCGUGAGCGAAGAAGUAUUUCGGUAUGUAAAGCUCUAUCAGCAGGGAAGAAAAUGACGGUACCUGACUAAGAAGCUCCGGCUAAAUACGUGCCAGCAGCGGCGGUAAUACGUAUGGAGCAAGCGUUAUCCGGGUUUAAUGGGGGGAAAGGGAGCGUAGGCGGCCCUGUAAAUCUGAUGUGAAAAUUUGGGGCUCAACCCCAAACGUGCAUUGGAAA
rnacentral:rRNA from 1 species